rnacentral:ncRNA from 1 species
NNAGCUGGAGCCCAUUACGAGUUCUAUCAGGUAAAGCCAAUGAUUAGAGGCAUUGGGGACGCAACGUCCUCGACCUAUUCUCAAACUUUAAAUAGGUAGGAUGGUGCGGCUGCUUCGGUGAGCCGUGCCAUGGAAUCGGGUGCUCCAAGUGGGCCAUUUUUGGUAAGCAGAACUGGCGAUGCGGGAUGAACCGGAAGCCGGGUUACGGUGCCCAACUGCGCGCUAACCUAGAACCCACAAAGGGUGUUGGUCGAUUAAGACAGCAGGA